GGGUAAGAGGUGAAAAAUUGGAACAAGAGGUUUGGCAAUUGUUAAUGCUGUAAAGUUACCCAUUCAUAUAACCUGUAAAUAAAAGGCUAUUAAAUAAAAAAAUAAAAUAAAAGAAAUCAUCCUGUCAGACAUUUCUUACAGAACAAUAAUAUUCCAUAACAUUCAUAUACCAUAACUUAUUCAACCAUUCCCCAACUGAUGGGCAUCCAUUCAGUUUCCAGUUUCUAGCCACUACAAAAAGGGCUGCCACAAACAUUUUUGCAUGUGUGGGUCCCUUUCCCUUCUUUAAGAUCUCUUUGGGAUAUAAACCCAGAAAAGCACUGCUGGCUCAAAGGGUAUGCAUAGUUUGAUAACUUUUUGAGCAUAGUUCCAAAUUGCUCUCCAAAAUGGUUGGCUCUGUUCACAGUUCUACCAACAAUGUAUCAGUGUCCCAGUUUUCCCAUAUCCUCUCCAACAUUUGUCAUUAUCUUUUCUUGUCAUCUUAGCCAAUCUGAGAGGUGUGUAGUGGUAUCUUAGAGUUGUCUUAAUUUGCAUAUCUCUGAUCAAUAGUGACUUGGAGCACCUUUUCAUAUGACUAGAAAUAGUUUUAAUUUCUUCAUCUGAAAAUUGUCUAUUCAAAUCCUUUAACCAUUUAUCAAUUGAAGAAUGGCUUGAAUUCUCAUAAAUUUGAGUCAAUUCUUUAUAUAUUUUAGAAAUAAGGGCUUUAUUAGAACCUUUGAAUAUAAAAAUAUUUUCCCAAUUCAUUGCUUCCCUUCUAAUUUUGUCUGAAUUAGUUUUGUUUGUACAAAAACUUUUAACUUAAUAUAAUCAGAAUUACCUAUUUUGUGAUCAAUAAUGAUCUCUAGUUUUUCUUUGGUCAUAAAUUCCAUCCUCCUCCACAAAUCUGAGAGGUAAACUAUCCUAUGUUCUUCAAAUUUGUUUGUAAUAUCAUUCUUUAUGUCUAGAUCAUGAACCUAUUUCAACCUUAUCUUGGUAUACAGUAUUAGGUGAAGCCACAGAAACUUUAAAAUAUUCAAGUAUGAGAUGAAUUCCAAAGCUCUUUCUU
rnacentral:lncRNA from 1 species